rnacentral:miRNA from 1 species
GUCUCCGCCCCUCCUCCCACCCCGCCUGCUCUGCGGCGGAGGCGGCGGCGGCGGCGGCGGUAUUCUCUGCCUCUCCGCCACCUCCACCGCAGCCUCUCCCCCGGCCGGCGGCGUUGGCGGGGAGGG